rnacentral:rRNA from 1 species
AUUGAACGCUGGCGGCGUGCUUAACACAUGCAAGUCGAUCGGUAACGCGGGGGCAACCCUGGCGACGAGAGGCGGACGGGUGAGGAGCGCUUGGGAAUCUGCCCUUCAGCGGGGGACAACCCGGGGAAACUCGGGCUAAUACCGCAUACGCUCCACGGAGGAAAGCCGGGGACCGCAAGGCCUGGCACUGAAGGAUGAGCCCAAGUCGGAUUAGCUAGUUGGCGGGGUAACGGCCCACCAAGGCGACGAUCCGUAGCUGGUCUGAGAGGACGAUCAGCCACACUGGGACUGAGACACGGCCCAGACUCCUACGGGAGGCAGCAGUGGGGAAUAUUGGACAAUGGGGGAAACCCUGAUCCAGCGACGCCGCGUGGGUGAAGAAGGCCUGCGGGUUGUAAAGCCCUUUCGGUAGGGACGAAAGCCUCCGACCUAACACGUCGGGGGGUUGACUUAACCUACAGAAGAAGCACCGGCUAACUCUGUGCCAGCAGCCGCGGUAAAAC